UGUUUUAUUAAUCAGAAAAUGAAGUAAAUGAAAUCCGUAAACAAAAUAUCUGAUACAUGGCUAUAUAUACACCUAGCAUUGGGUCGGGUCAGACGGACCAAUGUCGGAAAGAAAAUGGGGCUCAGAUACAUAUUGGGCUCAGACACACAUUUGGCUCAAACAACAAAUUAAUCAUCAUAGCCCAUUCCCACAUAUACAAUGUAUACCAGAGAAUACAAUAAAUAUACAACGUAUAUACAGUGUGUACAAUCAUGU
rnacentral:lncRNA from 1 species